UGCAGUUGCUGACCUGACAAAUACACAUUAUAAUUGCUCAAGGGGGAGGAAGAGUGUUGUGUACACGUUCAGAUAAAUCCAAUAGUUUUUUCUUAGAUUCUAUUUUUGUAGUAGGAAAUUGAUUAAAUAUGUAUAGAUAUUUAAUCGCGAACCUAGUAAUGGAUUUGGUGGCAAGUUCGAAACCGAUAAACUUUGAAUUCUGGCUUGACCUUUAUCAAUACUUAAUUACCAUUGAAGUUUACCCAUAAUGAUCUUAUGUGUGUGUACCGGUCUUCCCCAUCUUUGGCACAAAAAAUGAGCUACAAAGCAAGAACAAAUAGCAGCAGAGAGAAAUAGCAAUUAAAUUGAAGGAAAAACCAAUAGGUGCCAUCCUAUCUAAGCAAGGAAGGAACAAAGAUAAUAAAACGAUAUAUUUGAGAUCUUAUGAGCUCUUGUCUUAGC
rnacentral:lncRNA from 1 species